UACGGGGGGGGUAAGCGUUGUUCGGAAUUACUGGGCGUAAAGGGCCAGUAGGCGGCCAACUAAGUCCGACGUGAAAGCCCCGGGCUUAACCUGGGAAUGGCAUUGGAAACUGGCGGGCUUGAGGACUGGAGAGGAGACUGGAAUUUACGGUGUAGCGGUGAAAAUGCGUAGAUAUCGUAAGGAAGACCAGUGGCGAAGGCGGGUCUCUGGACAGUUCCUGACGCUGAGGCACGAAGGCCAGGGGAGCAAACGGG
rnacentral:rRNA from 1 species